UGAUAUAUAAUUCCUUCUUACAAUUUAUACUUCCUAUACAUUCUAAUACUAUGAAGAUACUUUGUUGAUACAGGUCAGUUAUUGUCUUGAAUGGGAAGGGAGCUAAAUUGGCAAAGCAUUGUGUACCUGCAGAUCCUACGAAGAGAAAGAUGAAAGAAAGCUUGUAUCGAAUAGGGUUCAUCCCCGAACCAGACCUCCAGAACAUCCUGCCACUAAUAUACAAUUAACUUAGAAGGAACCAACAUCAUGCGAGUAGUAACAAAAAGCCUAGCUCACAAGGGAGAAGCUUCAACAGAGGUAGGAAAUGCAUAUGAAAGCCUACUGCUGGGAGCCAAUGUCAGUCAUAUGACCAUGAAACUACACCUAAUGUGAGACGAAGACAAGUUAUAGAUGACCAAUCUGCAUCAACCAGUGAUAAUUCAUCAGUGUGAAGAAUGUAUGAAUCGAAUCCUAGAUUUUCCUCAGAGAAACCAAAUGAGAGUGGACAGAGAUUGAGUUUAGUAUAUUAUUUAAGUCUUCAAAUGUUUGGUACACGAAUCUCUACUAUUUGUGGUGUAUUUGUCUAAACUAUCCCUAAAUUUAAUUUUAUUGUACAAACGUUGUGAAUUUUUAAAUUUUGUUCA